UCGGGAAUUUUGGGCAAUGGGCGAAAGCCUGAUGGAGCGACGUCGCGUGAUGGACGAAGUGCUUCGGCACGUAAACAUCUUUUAUGUGGGAUGAAAUUAUUGACAGUACCACAUGAAUAAGGGGCUCCUAACUCUGUGCCAGCAGGAGCGGUAAUACAGAGGCCCCAAGCGUUAUCCGGAAUCACUGGGCGUAAAGGGUGUCGAGGCGGUUGUAUUAGUCGUUCGUAAAAUCUACGAGCUUAACUUGUAGGCGGCGAACGAAACGGUACGACUUGAGGUUUGGAGAGGUGCGUGGAACUCACGGUGUAGGGGUGAAAUCCGUUGAUAUCGUGGGGAACACCAAAGGCGAAGGCAGCGCACUGGCCAAAAUCUGACGCUCACACACGAAAGCUAGGGUAGCGAAGAGGAUUAGAUACCCAAGUAGUCCCUGAGCGGGCUGGCAAGGCGCAU
rnacentral:rRNA from 1 species